UACAGAGGUCUCGAGCGUUGUUCGGAUUCAUUGGGCGUAAAGGGUGCGUAGGUGGCGAUGUAAGUCUGGUGUGAAAUCUCUGAGCUCAACUCGGAAAUUGCAUUGGAUACUGGCGUUGCUUGAGGAUUGUAGAGGAGAGUGGAAUUCACGGUGUAGCAGUGAAAUGCGUAGAUAUCGUGAGGAAGACCAGUUGCGAAGGCGACUCUCUGGGCAAAUUCCU
rnacentral:rRNA from 1 species